rnacentral:rRNA from 1 species
ACGAACGCUGGCGGCGUGCUUAACACAUGCAAGUCGAACGAGGUGAUUGAAAGCUUGCUUUGAGAACCGAGUGGCAAACGGGUGAGUAACGCGUAGACAACCUGCCGCAAAGAUGGGGACAACAGUCCGAAAGGACUGCUAAUACCGAAUGUUGUCAGAUUCCCGCAUGGGAGACUGAUUAAAGAUGGCCUCUACUUGUAAGCUAUCGCUUUGCGAUGGGUCUGCGUCUGAUUAGCUAGUUGGUGGGGUAACGGCCUACCAAGGCGACGAUCAGUAGCCGGUCUGAGAGGAUGAACGGCCACAUUGGAACUGAGACACGGUCCAGACUCCUACGGGAGGCAGCAGUGGGGAAUCUUCCGCAAUGGGCGAAAGCCUGACGGAGCAACGCCGCGUGAGUGAAAAGAAGGGUUUCGGCUCGUAAAGCUCUGUUGACGGGGACGAACGUGCGAGAUGCGAAUAGUUUCUUGCAAUGACGGUACCCGUCGAGGAAGCCACGGCUAACUACGUGCCAGCCGCCGC